GCAAGGCGAACAAAGAAACUGGUUGGAAUACUUGCAGGCAUGUUCCAAAACAUUGGGAAUACAAGAGGAAUAUCGGCUAGAGAAGGCCGCGACGAAAAUGGCACGGACCCUUUUUAUACCCCCCUAAAUGGUGCCUGGAGUACCUUUAAUAUACAUACUUCCUUGGAUGACAGUGACGAAGCGCACUAGAAAAGUAUGCGAAGGCGACUAUUAUAUACAUAUGUAUGUAUAUUCUAAAAAAAAAAAAAAAAAUGGUAAAAAGAGCUCGGAAUGGGCCCAUUUUAGUUAUUCUAUUUGAAGUUGUGCAUAAAAUCAUAAAAUUUCCAGCUAGUAGAUGUGCGAACGCGAACUUUCAUAGUUUUUUUGACAUAUCGAUAGAAAUUAGGGAAUAUGUAAAAUGAAAAGCUAUUACAAAUUUUUAAAACUUUGAAGGCGUUAGAAGAGGCGGGCUCAAAGUGUUUUUGGUAUAGCGAUAGAAAUUGGCAAAACAAACAAUAAAACAAAGAAUAGUCAAAACAUUUUACAAAAAUGUGGGUAAGGCAGUUUUUGCGUGUUAUAGUGGCCAUGACCAAAAAUUGUUUGGCGUCUCAUGAAUCUGCAUGUCUAGUCUCAACUCUCUAACUUAACAUCUUCUUAACAUCGAGGCGUUCAUACGGACAUACGAUAAUGGCAAUGGAUUAUAAAAAAAUAGUAACAAAAUAACUGCCACGCCCACAGUUCUGAAAAAGCGUUGGAAUUUUCUUUAUUUUUUAUUUUACGUGGUACCCACGUGGUACCCUGGGUACCGAUUUCAAAAUUUUAUUCGGAAGCUAAUUCGAGCGGUAAAAAGUUUUUUAAUAGGUGCUGAUUAACCGGGUAUGUAAUAGUCUAGGAACACGAAUAUGGCGUUCUCUCUAGAUAUAAUUUGAUGUCGGAAUAUAUUUACAUAAAUUAAUAAUAAUAAUAAAAUUAAUUGCCUACUAACUUUUCUUAUGCACAAAAUAUUACAAAUGUGUUUCAAUUUAGUAAGUAAAUGAAUUUGUCACAUUUUUCAAUCCUCAAGUCAUUUUUGGAAUGCAUUUAUUAUUUGUGUGGCUACAUUAGUUUUGGGACAUAAUAAUUUAAUGUUUAUUUUAAAACACAUAGGACGGUACUAGUCAUUAAAUAUGUAUAUUUUAAUUUUACAAAUAUGUCCGUUUUCGUUGUUUAUUGUGCUUUACAAAUGAAAUACAGGAAACCGGGUCCCAGAAUAAAUAUAACCAUGAAAUCAAAUGUCGAUUAAGUUAGUUGACAUCGCCUAGCCAGGAACUUUUCUGUUGAUCCGGAAAUAUCUACCUGAGCGUGGCAUUGGCAGGAUUAAUUUGUAAAUUGGGCAAGGGUAUAUGACCAAGAUCGUCAUCGUUCACCAAUUGGGAAUCUUUCCGUGUACGCCAAACUGGUAAUCUAGGUCCCGCGUCCCGACAUUGCCAAUCGCCGGUCCUAGCGCAACGCUUAGCUGCGCUUCCAAUUACGAAACAUUUUUACGCGAUAUCUGUAGCUUUCCGUUAUCCUGGAACACAUUCCGCAUAGACGCUAUCUGCGAUCAGGGGUGAUCAAACGUUAGUAUUUACACAACAUUUGCUUUUGUUUUCCCUUUUGAAGUUCGAAAUCGUUGUGAUACGUCGAUAGUUUUCGACGUAGGGGGUACUCCAGCCUUGAUCACCGCAACCAGAGACGUAGCAUGCAAUUGCCGCAGACGAGUGACGAACAUUAACAUUCCCUAAGUGUUGGUUAAAUGGAAGUUAAAAUACUGGAAUUGUAUUGAAUCACUUGGUGAAAGAAAUAUAAAAUGCUUGUCAUCA